rnacentral:tRNA from 1 species
UGGGGUGUAGCCAAGCGGUAAGGCAACGGUCUCUGAUAUCGUCAUUCACUGUUUCGAAUCCAGUCUCCCCAGCCA